GGAUGCAAUCAUCUUGUUAUUAACUCAGACAAUAUGAAAGUGAUUGACACAACGAAUAAUGGAGGAUACUCGGCAGGAGCGGCGGCUGCAGUCUUCAAUGAUUGUUAUUUUUUGGCUUAUGAUUUUUCUCUUAUUAGUUUUGAACAUUGUAAUAGGUAAACAAAUAAGGUGACUCAUGAAAUUGCUAGGCUAGCAAAUUUUUCGCAAACUAGGGAUUGGUUUGACGAGACAAUGAAUGAUAUUGUACCUUUUCUUACGGACGAUGUAACAAUUAUUUCUAAUUAA
rnacentral:rRNA from 1 species